rnacentral:rRNA from 1 species
GUGCCAGCCGCCGCGGUAAAACGUAGGACGCGAGCGUUAUCCGGAGUUACUGGGCGUAAAGCGCGGGCAGGCGGUCUGACAAGUCUGAUGUGAAAUCACCCAGCUUAACUGGGCGAGGCCAUUGGAAACUGACAGGCUGGAGGGCAGUAGAGGUAGGCGGAAUUCCGGGUGGAGUGGUGAAAUGCGUAGAGAUCCGGAGGAACACCAGAGGCGAAGGCGGCCUACUGGGCUGCACCUGACGCUGAGCCGCGAAAGCCAGGGGAGCGAACGGGAUUAGAUACCCGCGUAGUCC